rnacentral:rRNA from 1 species
UACGGAGGGUGCGAGCGUUGUCCGGAAUCACUGGGCGUAAAGGGCGCGUAGGCGGCCUGAUAAGUAGGGGGUGAAAUCCUGCGGCUUAACCGCAGGGCUGCCUUCUAAACUGCCAGGCUUGAGCACAGUAGAGGCAGGUGGAAUUCCCGGUGUAGCGGUGGAAUGCGUAGAGAUCGGGAAGAACAUCAGUGGCGAAGGCGGCCUGCUGGGCUGUUGCUGACGCUGAGGCGCGACAGCGUGGGGAGCAAACAGG